UACGAAGGGGGCAAGCGUUGUUCGGAAUUAUUGGGCGUAAAGGGUGCGUAGGCGGUCGGGUAAGUCUGAUGUGAAAUCUCACAGCUUAACUGUGAAACUGCAUUGGAUACUAUUCGGCUUGAGAGUUGGAGGGGGGACUGGAAUUCUCGGUGUAGCAGUGAAAUGCGUAGAUAUCGAGAGGAAGACCUGUGGCGAAGGCGGGUUUCUGGACAGUUCCUGACGCUGAGGCACGAAGGCCAGGGGAGCAAACGGG
rnacentral:rRNA from 1 species